GCGGAUAUGGUGGAACUGGUAGACACGCAAGACUUAGAAUCUUGUGAGGAGACUCGUGCAGGUUCAAUUCCUGUUAUCCGCACCA
rnacentral:tRNA from 1 species